rnacentral:lncRNA from 1 species
GGACAAAUAAGGGAAUAAAACUGGCCACCCCAGCCGGCAGUGGCAACCCACUUGGGUGCCGUGAAAGCUUUGUUCUUUCGGUCUUCACAGUAGAUCUUGCUGCUGCUCACUUUUUGGGUCUGUGCCAUCUUUAAGAGUUGUAACACUCACCUCAAAGGUCUGCAGCUCCAUUCUUGAAGUCAAGGAGACCACGAACCCCCCAGAAGGAACCAACUCUGGACACAAAAGGAAAGGAAUAGCAGUUAUGUCUCAGGGUUUUUUGAGGAUCAAACUGGAAAAUGCUGUCAACUAUAGUUAUUAGUAUACAAUUGGCCUGGCGAAAUGUGCAGAAUGCCUUAAAGCUUCUAUUCAUCUUUCAUCUGUUAAUUAGCUGUUACCCUGCCUGCAUGUAUUAUGAUCAGUGCUGUCAUCCUCUGUUUCACAAGGACAUGGAGUGAAUAGUGUUAGGGGCCCUAAGUGCUCAUAAGAGUGGAGCUCUAGCCUAUACUAUGUGAUGCGAUGGAGCAGCUGGUGAGAUGUGGUGAAAGUUUAAGCAGCAUUUUUCCAACACAG